AUUUCGUCGACAUUGUUUGUUCGAAGGCAUCCGCAUAGUUUAGGGGUUAAGGUUAAGCAAAUGUAACCAGAAACUAAUAAUUCGGCCACACUAGCUACCAGUAAUCCAAUGCUAGCCAAUAUACCUGCCCAGGUACCUUCUACUUCUGCUGCGUCUCCAUCUUCAUUCUUUAACAAUUGAGAUCAUUGACCGGAAGAGACGCGUUUCAUCGCGUUCAAGAUUCAGAGGCAGAGGCAAUUUGUGAAAUUUCACGAUGCCCUGACCGCGUUUUAGCCUUGGCAUUGGAAACUUUCUCUGACGGUCAAACGGUUCCAACGGCCCUGUUCUGGUUGGUCUGAGACGCCAAAACCCGUCGAUCUCAUCGGUGAACGAGAAAAUGAUCAAGAACGAAUUUGGGCCACCAAUACCGCUUACUAAUUGAGUUUUAAAUAAGUACAAUAUCAUAAUUGUAUACAGCAAUGUUCAGAAGAAAAAAGAAAUGCAUAGAAAAAAAGAGUAACUAGUGAAAGUGCAGACAAUACAUACCGGAACAGUGAGCAAGGUCACUUCCGGUGUUCUCUGGGAGUCCCUGACAAUAGCAGUCAAGGCCGUGAUUGCAGCCAUAUUCGAAAGGGCAAGGGCAAUGAGGCUCGCUGCAAGGUGAGCCGUGGAAAAGCUGGAAUUCGUUUUGCUUGUUGAUGUUGCAAGUGUUGCUACGACACCAAACGCUCCUGCGGCAAGAGCACCCGCACCUGCCCAUAAUCCUGCACCGGAACCUCCUAAUGCAGCGCCAUGGACCAAUACCAGGAUACCAAAUACUACAAGUUUAUUAUUACAAUUAUGUUGGAGCAGAAUCAUGAAGUUAGUGAAACUUACAAUUAAAAUUGAAUAAGGAUCAUUUUAUGAAUUUAUCAAUUGUAGAAAUGAAAUAUAAUAAAAAAUAAAUAAUAAGAAAGUAUAAAUAUAAAAUAUACAUGGGAUGUACAUGAAUAUGGUAAUAAUUAUGUUCAUUUCAAUAUCACCAGAGAACAUGGAAUAACAAUGAACUACAGCAUGGUAAUUCUCUACGGUUUGCAAAUCUGUAGAAGGAGUUACACAAGUAUGACUUUCUAAGUGAAAUGUUUUCACUUUUACACCGAUUUCUAUGCAAUUUGAAGAAAUGUUUGCUGCUCAGUGGUCAGUCAGUGAAAAUUCGUAUAUAUUUUAUUUAUAGAAUUUUAAAACAAUCAAGAUAUCACGCGAAAGUAGAAAUCACACUAACAACUCUGUAUUCAUCUUACUUGUUCAUGAAUUAUAUGAAUUAUAAUUUCAGACAAAUUUUUUGCUUUCUUAACAUUAUCUCUUGUAGUUAUUAGGAUCAUUUUAAAAAAUUAUGGACUAUAUUCUUUAUAAUGAUGAUAAUGAUAAAUUCUAAAUAUGAUAGAAUAUAU